GAUGAACGCUGGCGGCGUGCCUAAUACAUGCAAGUCGAGCGAACGGACGAGAAGUUUGCUUCUCUGAUGUUAGCGGCGGACGGGUGAGUAACACGUGGAUAACCUAUCUAUAAGACUGGGAUAACUCCGGGAAACCGGAGCUACUACCGGAUGAUAUUUUGAACCGCAUGGUUCAAAAGUGAAAGACGGUCUUGCUGUCACUUAUAGAUGGAUCCGCGCUGCAUUAGCUAGUUGGUAAGGUAACGGCCUACCAAGGCAACGAUGCAUAGCCGGCCUGAGCGGGGGGUACGCCAACAUGGGAAUGAGACACGGCCCCGACUCCUACGGGAGGACGCAGUGGGGAAUUUUGCACAAUGGGCGGAAGCCCGAACGAGCAAAGCCGCGUGUGUGAAGAAGGUCUUCGGGUUGUAAAACCCUUUUUUUUGGGAAGAAAAUAUUGGCAAAAAAACGGUCGGCGUAUGAAGGUACCGGAAGAAUAAGCCCCGGCUAACUAAGUG
rnacentral:rRNA from 1 species